GCUCAGAACGAACGCGGGCGGCGUGCUUAACACAUGCAAGUCGAACGGGACCUUCGGGUCUAGUGGCGGACGGGUGAGUAAUACAUAGGUAAUCUGCCUUUAAGUGGGGGACAACCAGGCGAAAGUUUGGCUAAUACCGCGUAAUGUCGUAUCUUGGAAUAGUUACGAAGAAAGAUUUAUCGCUUUUAGAGGAGCCUAUGGUUGAUUAGCUAGUUGGUGGGGUAAGAGCCUACCAAGGCGACGAUCAAUAGCUGGUCUGAGAGGACGAUCAGCCACACUGGGACUGAGACACGGCCCAGACUUCUACGGAAGGCAGCAGUGGGGAAUUUUCCGCAAUGGGCGCAAGCCUGACGGAGCGACGCCGCGUAUGGGAUGAAGUAUUUCGGUAUGUAAACCAUUGUCAGUGGGGACGAAACAAAUGACGGUACCCACAGAGGAAGCAUCGGCUAACUACGUGCCAGCAGCCGCGGUAAUACGUAGGAUGCAAGCGUUGUUCGGAAUUACUGGGCGUAAAGAGUACGUAGGCGGUCUGGCAAGUCUGAUAUUAAAGACUGGAGCUUAACUUCAGGACUGUAUCGAAAACUGCCAAACUAGAGGACUAUAGAGGAAGUCGGAAUUCUCAGUGUAGCGGUGAAAUGCGUAGAUAUUGGGAAGAACACCAGUGGCGAAAGCGGACUUCUGGGUAGUUACUGACGCUGAGGUGCGAAAGCGUGGGUAGCAAACAGGAUUAGAUACCCUGGUAGUCCACGCCGUAAACGAUGUCAACUAGGUGUUGGUAGUGUUACACUAUCAGUGCCGAAGCCAACGCGUUAAGUUGACCGCCUGGGGACUACGAGCGCAAGCUUAAAACUCAAAG
rnacentral:rRNA from 1 species